rfam:Bacillus wakoensis JCM 9140 DNA, contig:contig_171.
GAAGCUCUGAAUUGAAGCCCCAGUAAACGGCGGCCGUAACUAUAACGGUCCUAAGGUAGCGAAAUUCCUUGUCGGGUAAGUUCCGACCCGCACGAAUGGUGUAACGAUUUGGAUACUGUCUCAACGAGAGACCCGGUGAAAUUAUAGUACCUGUGAAGAUGCAGGUUACCCGCGACAGGACGGAAAGACCCCAUGGAGCUUUACUGUAGCUUGAUAUUGGAUGUUGGUACAGUUUGUACAGGAUAGGUAGGAGCCUUGGAAGCGUGAGCGCCAGCUUACGUGGAGGCGUCGGUGGGAUACUACCCUGACUGUGCUGACAUUCUAACCUCGAGCCGUGAUCCGGUUCAGGGACAGUGUCAGGUGGGCAGUUUGACUGGGGCGGUCGCCUCCUAAACAGUAACGGAGGCGCCCAAAGGUUCCCUCAGAAUGGUUGGAAAUCAUUCGUAGAGUGCAAAGGCAAAAGGGAGCUUGACUGCGAGACCUACAAGUCGAGCAGGGACGAAAGUCGGGCUUAGUGAUCCGGUGGUUCCGCAUGGAAGGGCCAUCGCUCAACGGAUAAAAGCUACCCUGGGGAUAACAGGCUUAUCUCCCCCAAGAGUCCACAUCGACGGGGAGGUUUGGCACCUCGAUGUCGGCUCAUCGCAUCCUGGGGCUGAAGUAGGUCCCAAGGGUUGGGCUGUUCGCCCAUUAAAGCGGUACGCGAGCUGGGUUCAGAACGUCGUGAGACAGUUCGGUCCCUAUCCGUCGCGGGCGCAGGAAAUUUGAGAGGAGCUGUCCUUAGUACGAGAGGACCGGGAUGGACACACCGCUGGUGUACCAGUUGUUCCGCCAGGAGCAUAGCUGGGUAGCUACGUGUGGACGGGAUAAGUGCUGAAAGCAUCUAAGCAUGAAGCCCCCCUCAAGAUGAGAUUUCCCAUGGAGUUAAUCCAGUAAGACCCCUUAGAGAUGAUGAGGUUGAUAGGUCUGGUGUGGAAGCGUGGCGACACGUGGAGCUGACAGAUACUAAUCGGUCGAGGACUUAUCCAA